ensembl:lncRNA
GGUGAACUGAAUUUCAGGUAAGAAGUUAUGACCUGCACUCUAUUUGGGUCAGAUAUAAACCGAGUUUAGGUGUAGUUUAUUUAGCAACAGUUCUCUUACGUGUUGCUGAUAGCCGGCUGGCUAGCUAGCUAGCGCCGCUAGCUUAGCUAGCUAGCGCGGCUAGCGACCCUUCGUGAAAAACCACCCAGGCUUGGCUGAUAGUGAGGUGGCUAAAAUUUGUUUAAUCGCCCGAUCGCUCGGCAAGGGUCUGUGUCUUAGCUGGACUUAUUUUUCGUUUAUAUGGGCCGAUGAUGCUGGUCGAUGUGGAAAAAAAUAACUGAGUUGUUUGGUGGUGGAGCUACAACAGAGGGCAGCUAUCCACCGGUGUGUGACAGAAAGGACAUGCCGCGAACGAGACAUACAAGGCGGUGAGGGUACCGCCGAUCCACCGGUGUUUGCUAACGCGGAGGUCAAUCGUGGAUCAGGGAAAGCGAAGGCAGGAGCGUGAGGUGAACUGAAUUUCAGGUAAGAAGUUAU